rnacentral:rRNA from 1 species
UCGAGCGAAUGAGUUCCUUCGGGAACGGAUUUAGCGGCGGACGGGUGAGUAACACGUGGGCAACAUGCCUCAUAGAGGGGAAUAGCCUUCCGAAAGGGAGAUUAAUACCGCAUAAGAUUGUAGUACCGCAUGGUACAGCAAUUAAAGGAGCAAUCCGCUAUGAGAUGGGCCCGCGGCGCAUUAGCUAGUUGGUGAGGUAACGGCUCACCAAGGCGACGAUGCGUAGCCGACCUGAGAGGGUGAUCGGCCACAUUGGGACUGAGACACGGCCCAGACUCCUACGGGAGGCAGCAGUGGGGAAUAUUGCACAAUGGGGGAAACCCUGAUGCAGCAACGCCGCGUGAGUGAUGACGGCCUUCGGGUUGUAAAGCUCUGUCUUCAGGGACGAUAAUGACGGUACCUGAGGAGGAAGCCACGGCUAACUACGUGCCAGCAGCCGCGGUAAUACGUAGGUGGCGAGCGUUGUCCGGAUUUACUGGGCGUAAAGGGAGCGUAGGCGGAUUUUUAAGUGAGAUGUGAAAUACUCGGGCUUAACCUGAGUGCUGCAUUUCAAACUAGAAGUCUAGAGUGCAGGAGAGGAGAAGGGAAUUCCUAGUGUAGCGGUGAAAUGCGUAGAGAUUAGGAAGAACACCAGUGGCGAAGGCGCUUCUCUGGACUGUAACUGACGCUGAGGCUCGAAAGCGUGGGGAGCAGACAGGAUUAGAUACCCUGGUAGUCCAUGCCGUAAACGAUGAAUACUAGGUGUAGGGGUUGUCAUGACCUCUGUGC